rnacentral:lncRNA from 1 species
GGGUCACUGCAAACGGUCACUAGUCGCAGGCAUUCUUCUAUCCGUCCUCUUCACGUCGCCUUUCUGAAACAGUUAGCCCUUAAACAAUGUCGAUGACAAGGGAUUUGUCUACUUCCCAUUGUUUACCUACAAACUCAUCCUGGGAAAGAAAGCAGGCGAGCCCAAAAGCCGUACACAGUCCUAUGCGGGGCAACUUGGACAAAUGAAAUUUAGCUGCUAAAGCAGCUGGAGUUGGCAUUACAGCAAUUAAAAAGCAUUACACGUUAAGGUAUCCAACGUGUGCCUCUGUAGAUGCAAGCUUCCGUUACGGAGGGAAUACGGUAUUCCUUCACUAUUUCAACCAAACAUAAUCAGCAGGGAUACGUGUCUCAUUUCAUCGCGAACAUGCAUCUUACAGGAUUGGGUAAACCUGGUAUUACGCAGAUCGUACGGAUCAACGCGCCGGAAGCAGUUGCCCUUGCGCACCGCGUGUGGGCGUUAACGAUAUACCCCAUGGCAAUAUGUAAUUACGAUGCAUGACGGAAACUAAGGACCUUGGAUUGGGGACAGGACCCCAGGCGAUGAGGACAGAACCCCAGCAAUGCCGGGCAAAGCCUGCAGGGCAGCGGUUCCCCACCCUGCCAAGCCUCCAGUGUGCGCUACAUUUAAGAAAGGUCGGCACUGUACGGCCCGUAUGACAGGGGCGGACAAGAAGGCAAAUCUAUCUCAUUCAUUUGUCGACUUUUGCAAAGACCCAGGCAAGAACACACGCUAACGCGGACGGGCUCCGCCGCCACCACGCAGAUGGUGGAGAUUCCGGAGGUUCCCUGGAGCCAUUCCAUGGAGUGUUGGAGGCUGCGCUCAAACUUAUUUCUAUACUCCCUGAGCCAUCCGUCCCCCGUACAGCCUGUGAGGCAGAUAGGCCGUAAUUACAACCCGGGCCAGCCCACCAGGGACUAGCCGGGCACUUAUUUAUUCCAUCUGCUUGCAAACGGCCCAGGCAUGGCCUUCCCGCUUCUCAAACGUCAAAGUCAGCAUGUACUCCAGGGCCAGCGCGCCAGCCACUGCAAGGCUGCAUGUUCUCAUGUCACCACAUCUCAACUCUGGCCCCGUGCAACCCCCGAGGAUUUCUGGCCUGUACUCCACGUGACGUGCACCCGCCGUGUCAAAGCUUGGCUGCCACCACAAUGUAUAUACCGUGUUUCUUUGCAAUCUCAUAAACGCGGACCUCACCUGGACGUUAGUGCUGGCCGCUGGGUUUAAGAAACAGCCAACAAGGGCCAACAAGGGGUUGUUGUUGACGCCAAUGGUGAAUUGUUUGAAGGCCGUGUAAACUGAUUUCUGGUCAGUUGCGGACUUAAGUAUCAUAGCUGCACCGGUGUUGGCUGCGCAGAGUAUUUCCCUCCUACUACUACGGACUGCAUUUGCUGCAAUUCCGCCUGCAUUCUGUACUGCAACUGCAGCGCUAUGAAAGCGCACCGGCGGCGAAUCGUUCCCCAGAUCUCGGUUCCGCGUCGUUUGAUGUUUAAUGCCACAACAUACCGGCUGGUCACCUUUAAAGUUACAAGGUGACAGAAAGAGGCGUACAUGCACGACAGCGAAGAGAAUAUCUGAAUAAGACAUUAGGCCAUUACGACACACACAGACAGACGAACUGACGAGCAGACGCACGCACGCACGCCACACACGCAUACACAAGUUUGAUAUACACGACGGUAUAAUAUCUAAGGAGACGUAUGUCAAUGCCUCGCCACACUUGGAAUCACAUUGUGGAAGGACUACUUGACGCCCCCCGACGCCAAGAACGUGUCACUGGCUCACAGGUCGCAAAACACAUUCCCCUCUGUACCUACCGACCUACCCACCAACCGACCAACCUACUACAGUCACGGCCCAUCCGACUAACCGCCGUCAUUAGUAAAAAAACACAAACGUUGGGCUACCCGCAUUACCCGCACCCCACUACCCCCACACCGC